CUUCAUCUCUUCUUUUAGCACCAGUAUCUUCUCAGCAAUUCGCACACAGGUCAGAAUACGUUCUAUGUUUACCCUAUCUCAACAUUAUUACCUCUUUUGGUAAGUAAGAAAAUACUAGUAUUUAAAACUUGAUAGCCCAACACAAAACAUACACAUCCCAAUUGGCCAUCAAAACUGAACUGUAAAGACUUGCAAAAAAUAACUGCCUGUCUCUGGGUAUUUCUUUGCCUUUUUUAUGCUUCUGCUCAAACAGAGAACUCACCAAAUAACAGUCAGUCUCCUUUAUUUGCAGCCGCGGAGAAAUGCACUUGGUCACGUAGCUCCAAAUUUUCACCUACCCUGCAUGGGGCUUGUAUUUUUAAGGCAGUUGUGAUUAUUGCAGCUAUACGUUCCAAGAAGGGACAGAACAGAAGGAAAAAAAAGAUCUACCAAAUGAAGAAAGGAGUAGAAAGAAUAUCAGUGCUUCUGGUGACAUCUGUGCCGUCCACCUUCUGUGAGCUGCAGUCUAAAUAUCUACUGACAAUUUAAGGUUCUUCGAGGAUACCAGACUUCCCAGUAUAUUGCCACGUCUCGUGGUAUCACCUCAGCUGGCAUUAGGAAUUGAUGUCCAAGGGUACUGCACGGCUGCCAGGACCUGGGAAACACUUCACUUCUUGGGCAGUCACAUCUGCCCCCAACAAGCCAUGCUGGCAUGCUUUCUAAACACAGAUGUAUUGUAGAGUAAACUGUCUACAAUUAUACAGACUGGAGUGAGUUAAUAAACUGC
rnacentral:lncRNA from 1 species